GCGAGUUUGGUUCGUCCGUGAUUGAUUUGAAAUCAUUCUUUGUUAUGUUUAAGUCAUAAAUCUCGUU
rnacentral:tRNA from 1 species